rnacentral:rRNA from 1 species
UACGUAGGGUGCGAGCGUUAAUCGGAAUUACUGGGCGUAAAGCGUGCGCAGGCGGUGAUGUAAGACAGGUGUGAAAUCCCCGGGCUUAACCUGGGAACUGCAUUUGUGACUGCAUCGCUGGAGUGCGGCAGAGGGGGAUGGAAUUCCGCGUGUAGCAGUGAAAUGCGUAGAUAUGCGGAGGAACACCGAUGGCGAAGGCAAUCCCCUGGGCCUGCACUGACGCUCAUGCACGAAAGCGCGGGGAGCGAACAGG